CACAACCUGUUCCUGUGUAUUGGUGAGAAAGUUAAAUCAAACUCGGGACAGCAUUGCCAUGCCACAGGCAUAAGGACUGGGGGAGCAAUUGACUUUUACCAUUGAAUCGAAAUUUCAGCAGCUUUUGGGCUACUCGCCAUCUAAAGGCAACAGAACCUUUUUCCUUGCAAACAGAAUUCAGAUCCCAACACCAGAUUGCCACUUUGCUCUCCUCUCUUCCUCUUGAAUUUUCCCUGUUAAUUCCCAGAGGAAUAUCCUGGCUGUCAGCCCAUGGCACAUCUUUUUGGACACCAGGAAAAGCUUUUUUUUUUUUUUUUUUUUUUUUUUUAAAGAAUGCUAACUGUGCCCUACUUUGAGCCAGGGAUUAUGUAAGAAGGAGAAAGUAGUGCAAGGGAGAACAAUGCCAUUGAUUGAGGGCUUACUGUUUGUGUGGUAGGCACGGUGUUUAGCACAUGGGAGUCUCAGGAAUCCGAACGAAUGCAAUCAGAUGGACCAAUAGAAACUGAAUCUGGUGAAGAUGACGAGCAUGAAGAUGUUGAUGAUAAUCCACUUCUACUUAAUGAACGAUGUGGAAACUGAGGCCUAAGAAUUUAAACAAAUCAUUAAAGGUCACACAAAAAUUGUCAAAGGUGAAAUCCAACUUAUCACAAGUUUUCCAGGACUUUCUCAGUUUGAAAACUGAGGCAGGACAUGGUGGCACAUGCCUGUAGUCCCAGCACCUUGGGAGACUGAGAUGGGAGGACCCCUUGAGCCCUGGAGUUCAAGACCAGCCUGGACAAUACAAUCGCUUGCUUCAAGGGAAACCAGUGGCUAUCUUGUGAACAACCAUAUGAAGAGGCUUGCCCUGUGAUCCUCACGAGUAGGCUUGACCAUAGGUCUUCAAGCCCUAAUCAAACCUUCAGAUCACGGAAAUUCCAGCCAAGAACUUGAUGGCAACCUUGUGAGGGACCUGGAGCCAUUCAGCUAAACACUUCCAGAUUCCUGACCCUUAAAAACUGCGUGAGAUGAAAAAUUGUUGUUGUAAGCUGCUAAAUUUGAGGUCAUUUGUUACCUAGCAAUAGUAACUCAUAUAGUAAGGAUUUUGGGUUU
rnacentral:lncRNA from 1 species